UUGAGACCAGGAGCCGGACACCUGAGGCUGGCCGCUCUUGUCGCGUGAAGUUGGGCCAGUAUCUGGCCUUCUGUUGCGGCGGCGGCCGUGACGCUGUCCCGGCAGGCUGGCUGGCGUGGCAGGCGUCAGAGGAAGGGGAGUAGAAGAGCUGGGUAAGCCACCCGGGCGUCCAUCCUGCUUCUCUGUGCUUUAUUUUCUCCAUCUUUUUAAAAAGGAGGAUUGAAAGCCCACGGAGCUGCGGUGGUGGGUAGAUGUGCAAGAAGACAUACGCACUCACACAUGCAUAAUACGUACAUACAUGCAUACACACGUACGUAUUCCCAUUCACAGAGCUGAUGAGUAUCGGCUGUACAAAUCCAGGCAUUCCGAGUCCAUGACUCUUGUUUGAGGAAUCACCUGUAGCAGUCAUUUUAAACACGCACGCACGCACGCGCACACUCACGAAGUUGGUGAUUUUAUGUCAGCAGCGUCAUUUGGUAUUAGAAAUGGAACGAAGACAUCUUGAUAAUACAUCUUAUUUCAGCUUCAACUGAAGAGCAGCAAGGAGACCGGUGGGAAGUCGCACUGUUUAAGAAUGGGGUCAUGACUAAAAUCUCAUUUCCAGCUCAGAAUUCUUGUACACAGUAGUCUAUGCAAAUUGCUUUUAAAUUGCUUUCAGAUGGUGUGGGUGUAUGGUUAGGAGGUUGGAGACUUGAAGAGAGUGAAGAGGGUGGUGAGGAGCACUUAGAUACCAGUUUAAUGGCUCAGUAGGUAAGAGCAUUUGUGGCUCUUAUAGAUGAUCGGAAUUUGGUUCCUAGCACCCAUAUCAUAUUGUUCACAAUGACUUUUUGUUGUAUAGGCAAAUGGUUAUGUUGAAUUGUGACAUGGGCAGAAGUAGCACCUGAAAUGCAGUAAUAUGCACAGUAUUAGAAGCUGUAUAGUUCUAGAUGCAAGGAUACAAAUGGACUUACAUUUUGUAUUUUCUUUAAAAAUCCUGUUGCUGGUCAUUCCUGCCAGGAAUUGAUACCAGGGCCUUUAACAUGUGUGCAAGCUGAAGCCUCAGCCUUCACUGCUUUUAUUGUCUUAAGUAAAUGACUCAAACCUAUUUCUAGAGACUUACCAGUUCAUUGGAUUUGGACGUGGACCAGUGACAGGUCAUUUCCAUUUCUGCUCCUUCUGUUGGCCAGUUAACUGCGUCUUACCUUCUGCUGGUGACCAGCUGUGUUCUGUUCUGUUUCCACCUCCCUUCUCUCUUUAGCAUGCUCAUGAAUGUUUAAUUGGUAUGAGUUCCCUGAAAGCAGGGAGCAGUUGUUUCCAUGCUCUGAGUAUUCAGAGAUUAUGCAGCCACAGCAUAUGCCUUUUAUAUGCAUAAUUGAAGGGGAGCAGACACAGGCCCGUGGUUGUAAUAUCGCCGCUUGAGUAUUCUGUAAACGGUGAGUGUGUGGCAUGUAACUUAGCUUGAGAGAGGUGGGAAUUGGGCAGUGCUUCCCAGAGGCGAUUCUGAGCCAUACUUAACUUUUUCUAGCAUGCUGUCUGUACUUUUGGAUGUUGCUUCUUGUUUCUUCCUUCUCUCUUGCUACUUCCCCCUUCAGAUUAGUGUUUGGGAUGUGGAAGGAAAUAGAGUAGACGGCAGAAUGAGGGACAGGCUUAUGGAAAGUAAUGUCCACAUCCAGUCAGUCCAUUUCUAAGAAAUAAGCUCCUGCUUUGUUAAAGGAGACAAGUGGGAAACUCAGGGUUUUUGGCUGGGUGCUUUCCCAGUGGGUGCAUUACAUCCUGUCUCCAAACCAGUCCGUUGAAAUCGCUCAAGUUCCCUUCGGGUAAAAGAUCCAAAUGUAGGCUCAGGACUUGAGGGGGGAGGGCAGAUUUGGGUCCUAGUUCAUACUAUGGAAGUAUUUUGGCUUAGUAACUGCAUGUUGUUUGAAUCAGCUGUGACCUGUUUAAUUUAAAAAACUCAAGUAAAUGGUGGUUUAAUUCUACCAAAUUUGAGUGAGUGAAAACAUCCGGUUAGAGAAACCGGAUUCUGACAGAGUCUGAGAAUAGGAAGAAAAGUCAGUCCACCUGUGAGUUGAGCUCCUUUAUUUCCAGGAUUGGUGUCAGCAGAAAACAGUGACGUGACGGGACACCGUGGACUUGACAAGAACCAUGUAGCCACAGCUCUUUUGAGUGGCAGUGGUACCAGAUCAUCAGUACCCUCCUUGCUAAUGACAGGUUUAUCAGCAGGUUGCAGCUGAGCAUGACCAUGAGGUAAACCCUGCCCCUGGUUGAAAUUUAGUUUCAUCAGCUUCUGCAUGGGAUUGUAAGGACAUGGAAUUUAUCACAAAAUCCAGCAGGUUUCCCUCCCCUCUCCCCUUUAGAUUUAUCCUUCUUGAAGAAGAUAACAUGCUUAAACAAAGGUUCUUUAUGGUUAGUAACUGUGAUUCUUAAAGUUGGUCAACCCCUAGUUUAGGUAAAUUUUAAAUGUCAAAGGUCUAGAUAUCUUAUUAAAUUAAAAACAGUAUUAAAAUCUUAACAGGUGUCAUGUUUUUGCCAUUUACCCAUGUUUGUGUUCUGUGUGAUACAUUCCAGGAAUUCCCACAAGAACUCUGAAAUCAAACUGACCAUGUCUGUGAUCCUUUUUUUCCCAUUUGGUGUUUUUUCCUAUUUCAGUAGCUGAGAAUACCUUUCACUAUAUACACAUGCAUAUUUCAUUAACAGUUUCAGCCAGUUCUGUGCAAGGUUAGAGGCCCAACUUGGCAGGGCAGGUGUAUGUGUGGUAGUAGGGGACAGGGCAGAAAUAGGGAGAGACAGACAGACAGACACACAGAGAGAAGCUGUUAAACUCUCAAGUGAUAAUCAGAAGUCUGAACUGCUGCUCACACCAGUAUAGUCUGGAA